AUGAACUCUUCUCCAUUUUCUUCUCUUCAAGCUCUUGAUUCUGUUUCAACAAUUUUGUGGACUAAUCAAAGACUUUAUUCCAACACUCCCUCUCAAUUCUUUUGAUUAAUCCCCAAAUUUGAUGUUAGGGUUUUGACCUCCACAUUCCCUUGAGUUUUCAGUUUGAUUCCUUCUUCCAUUGGACAACAUCUCUUCACGAUGUUUGCAUAACUUACUGGUUUCUCUUGUUUCUCUUUGGUUUCAUUUACCUGGAUCUUCUCUCGUUUAUGCAUGUUUGCUUCCACUGGGGGAUCUUGUGUGAUACCUCUUUGAAUCGUUCUUCUUCCAAUUGGGUUUUUCAUUACUCCAAGUCUGAGUCGGAGAUCUUCAAAUCGCUUUGUCCCAAGUGGUUUGGAUUUUUUCCAAUUGCUAUUGCCGAUGUAUUGUCGCAAUAGAUUUGGACACUCUCUGUAGUAUUGACUUUUAAUUCCCCCAUUAAACGUUUCAACCACACUGCAUGGUUUGUGGCUGCACUCAGCACCAUAUACUCCGCCUCUGCUGUGGAUUGGGCAAUUGUAUCUUGUUUUUGAGUUUGCCAUGUGAACAUUGCACUCCCAAGUGUGAAACACAUUCCUGUGGUGCUUCGCAUAUCUUCUUUGCAACCAGCCCUAUCUUAAUCUGAGAAGCCAACUAACUCUAUUUGGUUUGUCUCCUGAAAGUUUAACCCGUAGUCAAUUGUUCCUUGUAUCUACCUUAACAAUCUCUUUGCCUCUUGCAAGUUUUUCUCUCUUGGUUGUGAUAGGCUCCUGGACAGAUAAGAGGCAAUAAAUGCAAGGUCUGGUCUAGUUGCAGCAAGAUACAACAAUCCUCCUAUCAUGCUUCGAUAGAGAUUUGGGUUGGUGAUCUCAAAUCCAAGGAAGUAUUUAAGCUUUCCCAAAUCAGUCAUCUCAAAGUGUGUACAUUGAUGCAUCACAGUCGCUUCUCUUGCAUCCUUGUGACAUGAAGUAUGAGUCAAUCUUGUUGUACCAAGCCCUUGGAGCCUGCUUUAGACCAUACAAAGCCUUCUUCAAUUUGUAAACCAUAUUCUCUGCUCCCUCUAUCUCAAAGCCAGCAAGUGCUAUUAGGGCUUUAAUUGUAUCAUGUCUAGAUACAGGGGCAAACGUUUCUCCAUAGGUCUCUCCACCAAAUCCCAAGUAUCAUUUUUAUUGAUGUUGCAAAUUUCCUCACCCGUUGCACCUCUCUAGUUUACAUCAUUGACAGCUUCUUCGAAAAAGGUAGGCUCCUACCAGGAUAAGUAGCAUGCCUCCUCAACUUGGUCAGCUUCAUUGUCUUGUUGUUCUUCUUCAUGAUAAAUAUCACUUAGCUUUUUGACUUUAUGAACCUGUCUCGAUGAGCUACCAAUUUCUGACACUCCUCCACUCAGUUGAAAAGGUAUGGGACUGAUUUCCUGUCUCACAUCACUUGUAGUUGAUUUGUUUGCUAGACUUGUAUCAUUUUCCUUUGUACACCGGCAUUUGUCUUAAGAGGUGUUUUUUUCAGCACUAGGAGACACCUCAGGUUGUUCCUUAACUUCCUCUUGAGUUUUCCAGUUCCAGCUUUUAUUUUCUUCAAAAACAACAUCCCUUGAUAUUUCUAUCCUCCUUGUACUCAUGACAUACACUCUAUACCCUUUACUUACACUACUGUAUCCCAUGAACACAACUUUCUCCGUUCUAUCAUCUAAAUUUUUUCUCUUUACUGCAGGGAUCCACACAUGACAAAUACAUCCAAAUACUCUAAGGUGGUAAACAUAAGGUCUAUGGCCACUCCAAGCUUCAAGUGGAGUUUUCUGAUUCAAAGCCUUAGUGGGAAGUCUGUUUUGAAGCAACCCCAUUUUGUUGAGAUUCUUGAACUUCUUGAAAGCGGCAAAUGUCUUUGACUGACUUCAGGAAGUACACCCAUAGCAUGUAUGAGUAAUCAUCCGUAAAAGUUUAGUCCUGAAUGACCCAAUCUUUUGUGCCACAGCUCAGACAUACUCUCUUCUUUGGCCAUUUGCACACUCUCCUCUGCAAUUUCCAUUCUCAAUAAUCAUUAAUGUAGCACCAUUUCCAAUUCUAAUGGGAACUUGAACUGACCUGUCUAUGGUGGUGACGAGCUUUUCUUCACGAGUCAUGUGAUUAGUUGCUCCACUGUCAAUCAGCCACACUUCAUCACUUCGUGUUUGCUCUACAACAUAUGGUGCACUAAACAGCCUUGUUUCUUCUUCCCGGAAUUUCAAGCUUGAAGAUCACCAAGAACUGGAAGCUCUGAUACCAUGUUCAACUUUAGGUUUAGCCUCUUUUUGCUUUAAACUCUCUUAUCCAUUUCAUUAUACAUCCUUACACUUAUAUAUGGACUUACUUAGAUUUUACUAUAGUUUUGUGAAAGCUAAACAAUACCCACUAAACAAGUUUAUGGGCUUACAUAAC